rnacentral:rRNA from 1 species
CAGCCGCCGCGGUAAUACUAAGGGGGCUAGCGUUGUUCGGAAUUACUGGGCGUAAAGCGCACGUAGGCGGACAUUUAAGUCAGGGGUGAAAUCCCGGGGCUCAACCCCGGAACUGCCUUUGAUACUGGGUGUCUAGAGUAUGGAAGAGGUGAGUGGAAUUCCGAGUGUAGAGGUGAAAUUCGUAGAUAUUCGGAGGAACACCAGUGGCGAAGGCGGCUCACUGGUCCAUUACUGACGCUGAGGUGCGAAAGCGUGGGGAGCAAACAGGAUUAGAUACCCCAGUAGUCCCUGUCUCUUAUAC